CAGCGGCGGACGGGUGAGUAAUGCCUAGGAAUCUGCCCGAUAGUGGGGGACAACUGUUUCGAAAGGAACGCUAAUACCGCAUACGUCCUACGGGAGAAAGCAGGGGACCUUCGGGCCUUGCGCUAUCGGAUGAGCCUAGGUCGGAUUAGCUAGUUGGUGGGGUAAAGGCUCACCAAGGCGACGAUCCGUAACUGGUCUGAGAGGAUGAUCAGUCACACUGGAACUGAGACACGGUCCAGACUCCUACGGGAGGCAGCAGUGGGGAAUAUUGGACAAUGGGCGAAAGCCUGAUCCAGCCAUGCCGCGUGUGUGAAGAAGGUCUUCGGAUUGUAAAGCACUUUAAGCUGGGAGGAAGGGCAGUAAGUUAAUACCUUGCUGUUUUGACGUUACCAGCAGAAUAAGCACCGGCUAACUUCGUGCCAGCAGCCGCGGUAAUACGAAGGGUGCAAGCGUUAAUCGGAAUUACUGGGCGUAAAGCGCGCGUAGGUGGUUCAGCAAGUUGGAUGUGAAAGCCCCGGGCUCAACCUGGGAACUGCAUCCAAAACUACUGGGCUAGAGUAUGGUAGAGGGUGGUGGAAUUUCCUGUGUAGCGGUGAAAUGCGUAGAUAUAGGAAGGAACACCAGUGGCGAAGGCGACCACCUGGACUAAUACUGACACUGAGGCGCGAAAGCGUGGGGAGCAAACAGGAUUAGAUACCCUGGUAGUCCACGCCGUAAACGAUGUCAACUAGUUGUUGGGUUCCUUGAGGACUUAGUAACGAAGCUAACGCGAUAAGUUGACCGCCUGGGAGUACGGCCGCAAGGUUAAAACUCAAAUGAAUUGACGGGGG
rnacentral:rRNA from 1 species